GACGAACGCUGGCGGCGUGCCUAAUACAUGCAAGUAGAACGCACAGUUUAUACCGUAGCUUGCUACACCAUAGACUGUGAGUUGCGAACGGGUGAGUAACGCGUAGGUAACCUGCCUGGUAGCGGGGGAUAACUAUUGGAAACGAUAGCUAAUACCGCAUAAUAUUAAUUAUUGCAUGAUAAUUAAUUGAAAGGUGCAAUUGCACCACUACCAGAUGGACCUGCGUUGUAUUAGCUAGUAGGUGAGGUAACGGCUCACCUAGGCGACGAUACAUAGCCGACCUGAGAGGGUGAUCGGCCACACUGGGACUGAGACACGGCCCAGAGUCCUACAGGAGGCAGCAGGAGGGAAUCCUCGGCAAUGGACGAGAGUCUGAGCGAGCAACGCCGCGGGAGUGAAGAAGGUUUUCGGAUCGUAAAGCUCGGUUGUAAGAGAAGAACGGGUGUGAGAGUGGAAAGUUCACACUGUGACGGUAACUUACCAGAAAGGGACGGCUAACUACGUG
rnacentral:rRNA from 1 species